ACUGGGUUGCUGAGGAAGGUUGUGGAUGCCUCCUCCCUGGGAAUUUUCAGAGCCAGACUGGAUGAGGCCCUGAGCAGUUGACUCUAGUUGAGAGGCAUCCCUGCACAUGGUGGAAAGGUUGGAGUGGAUGAUCUCUAAGCCAGUCUAUGGUUUUAUGAUUUACUACUGGUUUGUCAAAACCUGCUGAUUUCAAGCCUUUCAGCAGUCUAAUCUUGCUUGUAGCUCUUGAUGAAAAGGCAAUGUGUGGGUCCACAAAAUGGCAGAAUAGUUUGAGGCUGUGUCUUGCCAAAGCUCUCACACCAGGUUGUUUGUCACUGUCAUCUAAUUCAUGAACUUAAAAAUCAGACACCUUCCUAAUGUGUUUUUCCUGAUGUGAAUAAAUUCACUACAGAAUACUGGCAGAGAAAGAGAUGCUUGUUGUCAAGCAAUUAUAUCAGAUGAAACAUACAGAAGGAUAAUAUUAUAGUCUGAAAACAUUGUAGCUAAUUUACAGGCGUGAAAACUGAAGAUGAAUUCUGGGAAUUCAGAGAAAAGACAGGGUUUGGGGUUUCUUUUUUUUCUUCUUCUCCUUUCUUCUCCUCUGUAUUUUGCAGUAAUACUUUUGAGUCUGAAAGUUCUCAGCUGAUAAAAAACAUUAUGGCUGAAGGUCUGAAAGAAGACAUUAAAGCUUUUGCCCACUUGUGGCAAUUAUUCUGGAGACAAACACAACUCAGAAGACAAACGUUAUGAGCUACCUCUUGUCUAUGAAAAUUGAGACUGUCACAGAGCCUCAGAAAAGCUCACUUUACCCUGCCCUGAAGAACUGUGGCCACAGUGGUUCAGGUUGAACAGGACGCUUUGAAAAUCACCACUUUCCCAAAGACCUCUGCUAAAAAUGACAUAUUCACCAGCUGAGAAAAGUGUUCUUGCAAAAUCCAAACAAAGCAGCUGAACAUCAAUAUGGCACAGGGCAGAGUCUCCUGUGCAAACUCGCAGUGCCAAUCUAAAUUGUGUUUUACACCACCACUCUGAACACUUUACAAGUGCUGGAAGAUAAAUACUACUGGGAAAUAAACAGUCCCCUUAAUCUUAUCUCCUCUGGGGGCUUUGCUGUUGUCAUUUUUAAUUAAAAAUGAGAUAAUCUCUCUAACGACCAAAGCGUCGCUCCUAGACUUUGGAGGCCUUCUCCUGCCCCUCGGCACCCAGAGCAGCACGGAGAGCAGGUUCUGAGCGCCGCCGCAGCGCGGUCCUUGUCUGCAGUCACCACGGAGAAAACCAUCUGUUCCACUUGGAAAAGGGUUUGGAGCCACACGCCCUCCCCCCGCAUCUCGGCUCCGUCCCCAGCUGCCGUGUUUCGAUGAGCAGCGAGGGAAUGAAUCUCCUGCGUUAAAAAUACUCUGGUUCUAUUUCGAUGAAAAGAAGAAUCUUCCUUGCCUACACUGAGCUACAAAAAUAGUCUCAGUGUGAGUAAAUUGCCAAAGUUGCUCUUGGUGAAAAUAUCCAGCCUCACUUUUUUUUUCUUU